rfam:Streptomyces sp. PVA 94-07 chromosome, whole genome shotgun sequence.
CUUCACCGAGCCGAGCAGCAGCGGGUUCUCGGGGUCGCGGUCCCUGCCGUAGGUGGCGUGCAGGGCCUGGGCCUC